GUUUCAUUGGUGUAAGGAGUUGCAUUCGGCCGUUGAAUCUGGCCGAAUGCUAAUGUUCCUCCCAUUAAAAAAAUA
rnacentral:tRNA from 1 species